GACGAACGCUGGCGGCGCGCCUAACACAUGCAAGUCGAACGAGCGAGCGAGAGCUUGCUUUCUUGAGCGAGUGGCGAACGGGUGAGUAACGCGUGAGGAACCUGCCUCAAAGAGGGGGACAACAGUUGGAAACGACUGCUAAUACCGCAUAAGCCCACGGUGCCGCAUGGCACAGAGGGAAAAGGAGCAAUCCGCUUUGAGAUGGCCUCGCGUCCGAUUAGCUAGUUGGUGAGGUAACGGCCCACCAAGGCGACGAUCGGUAGCCGGACUGAGAGGUUGAACGGCCACAUUGGGACUGAGACACGGCCCAGACUCCGACGGGAGGCAGCAGUGGGGAAUAUUGCACAAUGGGGGAAACCCUGAUGCAGCGACGCCGCGUGGAGGAAGAAGGUCUUCGGAUUGUAAACUCCUGUUGUUGGGGAAGAUAAUGACGGUACCCAACAAGGAAGUGACGGCUAACUACGUG
rnacentral:rRNA from 1 species